rnacentral:tRNA from 1 species
AAAUUUUUUAGUAUAUCUUGUACAUUUAGCUUCCAACUAAAAAGUCUACUCCUAGAAAAAUU